GAUCAUUACAGUAUUCUUUUGCCAGCGCUAACUGCGCGGCGAAACCUUACACACAGUGUCUUUUUGAUACAGAACUCUUGCUUUGGUUUGGCCUAGAGAUAGGUUGGGCCAGAGGUUUAACAAACACACAAUUUAAUUAUUUUUACAGUUAGUCAAAUUUUGAAUUAAUCUUCAAAACUUUCAACAACGGAUCUCUUGGUUCUCGCAUCGAUGAAGAACGCAGCGAAAUGCGAUAAGUAAUAUGAAUUGCAGAUUUUCGUGAAUCAUCGAAUCUUUGAACGCACAUUGCGCCCUCUGGUAUUCCAGAGGGCAUGCCUGUUUGAGCGUCAUUUCUCUCUCAAACCCCCGGGUUUGGUAUUGAGUGAUACUCUUAGUCGGACUAGGCGUUUGCUUGAAAAGUAUUGGCAUGGGUAGUACUGGAUAGUGCUGUCGACCUCUCAAUGUAUUAGGUUUAUCCAACUCGUUGAAUGGUGUGGCGGGAUAUUUCUGGUAUUGUUGGCCCGGCCUUACAACAACCAAACAAGUUUGACCUCAAAUCAGGUAGGAAUACCCGCUGAACUUAAGCAUAUCAAUAAGCGGAGGA
rnacentral:rRNA from 1 species